UACGUAGGGUGCAAGCGUUAAUCGGAAUUACUGGGCGUAAAGCGUGCGCAGGCGGUUUUGUAAGUCUGUCGUGAAAGCCCCGGGCUCAACCUGGGAAUUGCGAUGGAGACUGCAAGGCUUGAAUCUGGCAGAGGGGGGUAGAAUUCCACGUGUAGCAGUGAAAUGCGUAGGGAUGUGGAGGAACACCGAUGGCGAAGGCAGCCCCCUGGGUCAAGAUUGACGCUCAUGCACGAAAGCGUGGGGAGCAAACAGG
rnacentral:rRNA from 1 species